AGCUUGCUCCCGGAUGUUAGCGGCGGACGGGUGAGUAACACGUGGGUAACCUGCCUGUAAGACUGGGAUAACUCCGGGAAACCGGAGCUAAUACCGGAUAGUUCCUUGAACCGCAUGGUUCAAGGAUGAAAGACGGUUUCGGCUGUCACUUACAGAUGGACCCGCGGCGCAUUAGCUAGUUGGUGGGGUAAUGGCUCACCAAGGCGACGAUGCGUAGCCGACCUGAGAGGGUGAUCGGCCACACUGGGACUGAGACACGGCCCAGACUCCUACGGGAGGCAGCAGUAGGGAAUCUUCCGCAAUGGACGAAAGUCUGACGGAGCAACGCCGCGUGAGUGAUGAAGGUUUUCGGAUCGUAAAGCUCUGUUGUUAGGGAAGAACAAGUGCGAGAGUAACUGCUCGCACCUUGACGGUACCUAACCAGAAAGCCACGGCUAACUACGUGCCAGCAGCCGCGGUAAUACGUAGGUGGCAAGCGUUGUCCGGAAUUAUUGGGCGUAAAGGGCUCGCAGGCGGUUUCUUAAGUCUGAUGUGAAAGCCCCCGGCUCAACCGGGGAGGGUCAUUGGAAACUGGGAAACUUGAGUGCAGAAGAGGA
rnacentral:rRNA from 2 species